rnacentral:lncRNA from 1 species
GAGUUGAAGACCAGUUGAUCGAUUGACGUGCAUGUGCUUGUAAUACGACCUAACUAGAAUCCAUGAUCAUCACCUAUUUAAAGUUUAGCUUUAAUUAUUGCUGCGAUUAUAACUGCCUGCAAUGUGCCGUUUGCAUGAUGUGAAUGAGAGUCGGUUAGAUAGGUUUACAUGUGAUGUAGCAAACCCAAUUGAGACCUUAAUUAAAACCUCCUCAAUCAAGUCGAGAGUAAACCAACAUGAGCAAGUCAUAUUAGAUUAAUUGAUCUAAUUGGUGUCUAGAAAAGCAUGAAAGGUGGUUACUUAAUUAGGACCUUACUCUCUGAGUAAGGGGAGCCUCCCACCUGCUUACCUGGCCAAUU